CGGUAACUGCUCUCGCCCUCGCAGCCCUCCUCGGCCGCCCUCUCAAGCCAGCCCUCACCGCCGCCCCCAUCUCUCAGUCCGAGACCCUCCCUAAAUCCUUCACUGACGAUGAGAAAGUCCGUGCACUCGAAGACCACCUCACCUCUGAUCCAGACGACAUCAAGGCGAUCCGAUCGCUACUUGAGGUCAAAGUGAAGACCAAUCUAACGGCGCAUUUCCACGCCAUCAUCACCUCCAUUUCCCUCGCUUUCUCAAGGCAUUGAGCUCUGCACUGCUUUUCCCUCGGUUUCCAUGGCGAAAUUCCCAUCUCUGGCAAUCUAAACCACCAAGUCUCAUACAAAGUGUUUUAGAUCUCCUCUGCAAGGCUAAGGAUCUCAGGUGGAAGGCCGAAGUUGGAGAUAUGAACAUGGAGAUGCGUUUUUGUGGACACAAACGAGAGGAAUGGUAUUGAUGCGAUGAAAUCCUAGGGUAAACCUAGUAAAGAAUUGGUAUAAGUGCGAACUCUGUGAUCAGUUGAAUCUUUUCAUGGGGAAUAUUAAUUUAUGAUUGCAGGGUGACAGCCACUUUCAUAUUCUAUUUUGAAGAGCAUCAUCUUUUUAAUUGCAUUGCUGUAUGUAAUAGUUUAUCAAUUGGCAUGAUCUCUUACUGUUGACUCUGGUUACAAUUAUGCUAAGUUGUAUUUUACUUUUCACAUAGCAUCAGUCUUAUGGUUUUUAGAAGAAAUUUUUGUAUCUUAACAACUGAUGGUUUAUAGUUAUAUGUCAGUGAUAAAAUCCAAGAGUAAGCAUACUAAAGAAUUAUUAAGUUAAGUGCAAACACUGUGGUUCCAUAAGUUGAAUAUUUUCAUGGUAGCAUUGAUCUCUGUCCUGAUGCAUGUAAUAUGUAAUCUUUACAUUGUGGAAACAGUGUAAAGAUUAUGGGCUCUUGACGAUUUUUCCAAUUGCCUCUUGUUGAAUGUCUGUUCAUUUAGUUACAUUUUGUUCCAGUAUCAUGCUAGGAAAAGUUUUUUCAAGGAGUAGAUAAUGCAUCUCUACUUGUGAAACAAAAGUUUCACUUUUUUUGCAUAUUGUAAAGAUUCUUUUUGGGCAUGACAACCUUUAGCAAAUGCUAACUGUAAUUUACUUAUAAUCACUUCUCUAGAACUAGGUCUUGUUGCAUCUGCUUUUGAUAGAUUAAUCGUUCCUUGAAAACAUUAAAAACCAAUAAUUUGUUUUGAUUGCAUGUGCGGCUUUUUACUGAUGCCGGAUAAUAUGUGAUUUGCUUUGGCAACCAUGGUUUAAGUCCUCCAUUUGGCUAGACCUCUAUGAUUCCGGAAUUAGAAGUUGCCCACCCUUUGUCUUUGAUUGAAAGAGCUAUGGCUAUUGCUCUUGCUGUGUCCCUAGACACUGACUAUUUCUCCAAGGGCUAUGGCUGGGAUGGACUUACAUAUUAAAUGGGCCACUCUUGAAUGCUAACAGAAUGGCAGGGAUUCAGAAAUUCAACGAAGAUGACUUUGGGUUAGUACCUAUCACCUUAGCUACAUGGGGACCUUUUGUUCGGAUAAAUUUGGACAAAGAUGUACCAUUUCAUCAAAAAUCAACUACAAAGAAAGUGGAGUAUGAAUGGCUUGGGGAUGGUUCAGAAAUAAUGAGCACCAACUUGAAUUAUUUAUCAGUAAAACAUGUCUGGAGGCGAGAAUAUGUCAUUGAUUGGUAAUUGGAAGGUUUACUGUAAUAAUUUUUUAGAUGGCGGCUAUCAUGUUCCUUAUGCACAUAAAGGUUUUUCGUCAUCUCUCAACCUGAACACAUACACUACCGAGGUACAAAAAUCUUAUGAAUUAACAUGAAACAAUGAAAUAAAAAUUCAUCACAGUCGCCUAUUUUAAUUAGUUCUAGUAGGUUUAUGAUAAGAUUAUUGUACAAAGAUGUGAGAGUGCUUCCACAAACGACAAUAAGCUCAGAUCAGAUGCAUUUUAUGCAUUUGUUUACCCAAACUUCAUGGUUAGCAGGUAUAUAUGUGUGUGUAUAAUAUCAUAAAUGUUAAAAAUUAGUGCAUUUAUCUUUACGAAUGCUUAGAAGCUCAUCUAAUCUGUAAACAGGUAUGGUCCUUGGAUGGAAACAAACUUAGUUCUUCCAAUGGCUUCUAGUAAAUGUCUAGUGAUUUUUUAUUAUUUACUUUUUCUGAUUUUUUAUUUAUAUUAAAUGCACGGCACUACUCUUACUGCCACAUUCUGCUGUUUUGCCUUAUUCAUCUUAACAGGUUGAUGAUCUGAUCGGUUCUAUUAGAAAGCUUUUCGUGUUCCCAGCAGACAAAAAAAUAAAGAGCAGUCAUUGAAAUGACGAUCACCACAUCGGUUUUGGACAUUUGCUUGUUACUCAGCUUUUGAUAAAUGUCAGUUUAACAGCAAAAGUUAGCAACUGGGAUUUGUCAAGCUGGAGUUGCUACUAACUCUAUCCAUGUGGAUGGCAUUUUGAGGUGUUUUGCUUCCUAUGUGAAAAUUUUAUCUGUAUUGCAUUAUAUAGGCAACAAAAGAGCUGUG